rnacentral:rRNA from 1 species
UACAGAGGUCCCGAGCGUGUUCGGAUUCAUUGGGCGUAAAGGGUGCGUAGGCGGCUUCCUAAGUUUGAUGUGAAAUCCUGGGGCUCAACCCUGGAACUGCAUUGAAUACUGGGAGGCUAGAGUACUGGAGAGGAAACUGGAAUUUACGGUGUAGCAGUGAAAUGCGUAGAGAUCGAUAAGGAAGACCAGUGGCGAAGGCGAGUUUCUGGACAGUUACUGACGCUGAGGAACGAAGGCCAGGGGAGCAAACGGG